GACGAACGCUGGCGGCGUGCUUAACACAUGCAAGUCGAACGGAAAGACCCUGUUUUUGUGGGGUGCUCGAGUGGCGAACGGGUGAGUAACACGGGAGUAACCUGCCCUCCACUUUGGGAUAACUUCCUUAAACUGGGGCCUAUACCGGAGUGGGGCUGCUGCUGCGCGGUGGGGUUGGGAGAGUUUCGGCGGCUGGGGUUGGUUUCGCGGCGUAUGAGCUUGCUGGCUGGGUAGUGGCUUACCAAGGCUUUGACGGGUAGCCGGCCUGAGAGGGUGACCGGCCACAUUGGGGCUGAGAUACGGCGCAGACUCCUACGGGAGGUAGAAGUGGGGAAUAUUGCACAAGGGGCGGAAGCCUGAUGCAGCAACGCCGCGUGCGGGAUGACGGCCUUCGGGUUGUAAGCCGCUUUCGCCUGUGACGAAGCGUGGGUGACGGUAAUGGGGAAAGAAGCACCGGCUAACUACGUG
rnacentral:rRNA from 1 species